UACAGAGGUCUCAAGCGUUGUUCGGAUUCAUUGGGCGUAAAGGGCGCGUAGGCGGCCUGGCAAGUGGAAGGUGAAAUCCCUCGGCUUAACCGAGGAACUGCCCUCCAAACUGCUUGGCUUGAGUCCGGGAGAGGUGAGUGGAAUUCCGAGUGUAGAGGUGAAAUUCGUAGAUAUUCGGAAGAACACCAGUGGCGAAGGCGGCUCACUGGCCCGUUACUGACGCUCAGGCGCGACAGCGUGGGGAGCAAACAGG
rnacentral:rRNA from 1 species